GGCAGUGUGGUCUAGUGGUUUGAGCAUUGGACUCUGGAGACCAGGGUUCGAAUCCCCGCUUGGCCA
rnacentral:tRNA from 1 species